rnacentral:lncRNA from 1 species
UUACAACAUUGUAAUUUUAUUAUCUACCUCUUGUGCUACACCUGUUAUUUCUACAUGUGCUACGCCUGUUACAUCUUCAGCUGUUACGUCAA